rnacentral:rRNA from 1 species
GACGAACGCUGGCGGCGUGCUUAACACAUGCAAGUCGUACGGUAAGGCCCUUUCGGGGGUACACGAGUGGCGAACGGGUGAGUAACACGUGAGUAACCUGCCCACAACUUUGGGAUAACGCUAGGAAACUGGUGCUAAUACUGGAUAUGUGCUCCUGCUGCAUGGUGGGGGUUGGAAAGCUCCGGCGGUUGUGGAUGGACUCGCGGCCUAUCAGCUUGUUGGUGGGGUAGUGGCCUACCAAGGCGGCGACGGGUAGCCGGCCUGAGAGGGUGACCGGCCAAGUGGGGAGUGAGACCGGCCCCAGACUCAGAGGGGGGGCAGAGGGGGGAAAUUGUGCACAGGGGGCCGAACCGUGAGGAACAACCGCCGGGGGGGGGAGGCGGGCUUGGGGUUUGAAACCCUUUUUCGCCGGGGACGAGGUGUGAGUGACGGUACUGGGUAAAGAAGCACCGGCUAACUACGUG